rnacentral:misc_RNA from 1 species
UCCAUUGGAUAAAAAACCUGUCUUGGCUGAUGAAUAAUAUUAUUGUUAUGGCCACAUCAUCGCCUUCUAUAAGAUUUCAGAUCUGGGCUCCAACUAUAACUGAAAAAUUAUGUACAAGUCAUAAAAAUGCAUUUGCACAGUAUUGACCACAAUUAGGCUCUAAAUUUCUUGCUUUUCAAGCGGCAUUAUACAUCUGCAUUUCCUCAAAGAGGAGAAAUAAUCUUCAACUAUGGUCAAGAAUUUGACUAGGGCUUUUAGAAUUAUUCUACCUUCCUAAAGCAACUCCCACACUACUUUGUCAGCCCAUGUAUACCAGCAUAUAAUUGAUUUCUUAUAGCAUUCUCAACUAGUACCAAUAUCUUUAUCAUCUAUAGUUCUUACUCAAAAUCAAAAACAGCAUUUGCACGCACCAUCAACUAAAAUUCAAGACUGCUAGACAAAUCAGAGGGCAAAAAAAAGAGAAAAGGAACAAAUUUGUCAUAGACAAAACUAGGAGGGCAGAAAAAUACCUGUCUGGCUCAGAUAAAAUGGUAGCCAGUACAAAAAUGUGUAAGCCACAAGCUUCGAGAAAAAUAAGCACAAUGCAAAUGGUAUCACUCCAGGUAUAAAACAAGCUUCAAUAAGCCCCACACUUUUCUUAAACGCAGAACCAGAUCGGACCAUGUUAUUAUUCUCUGAUUGCACUGUACUUCCUUUGUU